UACGUAGGGUGCGAGCGUUGUCCGGAAUUAUUGGGCGUAAAGAGCUCGUAGGCGGUGUGUCGCGUCGGCCGUGAAAACCUGGGGCUUAACUCUGGGCGUGCGGUCGAUACGGGCAUCACUAGAGUUCGGCAGGGGAGACUGGAAUUCCUGGUGUAGCGGUGAAAUGCGCAGAUAUCAGGAGGAACAUCAGUGGCGAAAGCGACUUCCUGGACCAAUACUGACGCUCAUGUGCGAAAGCGUGGGGAGCAAACAGG
rnacentral:rRNA from 1 species